rnacentral:lncRNA from 1 species
GUGACCACCUCUGAGGGCAUCAGUUUCCUUGGCUACAAAAUGGUAAAAUGAGGAGUUUGGAAUAGUUUCUCUGAAAUCUCCUCUAACACUAAAUCCUAUGAUCCUAAACUGCUCCAACAUCUAUUGGGGGAGGGGGCAGAAGGGGAAGGCAAAGAACAAGCCCAAAGUCCAGUCAGAAGCGCUUCCACACCACUUACCUAUUUCUGUUUCCUCCAGCCAAAAUGGAAGUAAAGGAUCUGAUUAUAACCUGUGAAAAUAAGAUGCAGACAGAGCUUGACGCUAUCUACCCCCAGCUGGUGAAACGGUGUAGCCUUCUAUCCUCUCUGGAUCUCCCAGCUAAAAUGGAAUCCAAGGAAGAGCCCAGAAGCUUGAAGGCAAAGAAAGAAGCCUUCUCUUUCUGUUCUAGAUCAGUGU